CUAAAACCCCGGAAAGAAGUAUAACGAGCGAAAAGAGAAGGAAAAGGACUUGAAGUGCAAUUAUGGAAGGGCCUAAAUGUAAUAAAAGUCAAAUUUUGAGGACCAAAUUGCACUAAAUGAAAGUUGAAGGACCUGAUCUGCAAUUUUGAGAUUUUUUGGUCAACAUUUUUAUUAUUUUAUCCUUAUUUUAUUCUAGAUAUUUUUAGGAUAUUUAUGUUGUGUCUAAUAAUAUCUUUUUUAUAUAUAUUAUAUUUUAUCCUUAUUUUAUGCUAGAU
rnacentral:lncRNA from 1 species